UGAUUUUUUAAAGGAGAGCAUUCAAAGUACCACAGUUAUCAGAUUUGGGUGUUGAGGGGACUUUAUCGACUUGAUGACAGAGUUUUCAUAAGUAAAUCCGGGCUUGAUGACUUCACAGGUUUGCAUUCUACAUUGACACCAGCUUUGGCAGUCG